AACGAACGCUGGCAGCGUGGAUUAGGCAUGCAAGUCGAACGAGAAGCUUUGGAUUCAAUCUUUCGAGAGAGAUUCCAAAGUGGACAGUGGCGGAAGGGUGAGUAACGCGUGGAUAACCUGCCCUUGAGUUGGGGACAACAUUCCGAAAGGGGUGCUAAUACCGAAUGUGGUAACUUGUCGCAAGGCAAGCUCACUAAAGACGGGGAUUCUUCGGAACCUGUCGCUCAAGGAGGGGUCCGCGUCCCAUCAGCUUGUUGGUAAGGUAAAGGCUUACCAAGGCAUACGGGUAGCCGGCCUGAGAGGGUGAUCGGCCACACUGGGACUGAGACACUGCCCAGACUCCUACGGGAGGCUGCAGUCGAGGAUCAUUCGCAAUGCGCGAAAGCGUGACGAUGCGACGCUGCGUGGAGGAUGACGGCCCUAGGGUUGUAAACUCCUGUCAUGAGGGAAAAACGGCCAUACGGCUAAUACCCGUACGGUGUGAUGGUACCUCAAGAGGAAGCCACGGCUAACUCUGUGCCAGCAGCCGCAGUAACAC
rnacentral:rRNA from 1 species